rnacentral:rRNA from 1 species
AUUGAACGCUGGCGGAAUGCUUUACACAUGCAAGUCGAACGGCAGCACGGACUUCGGUCUGGUGGCGAGUGGCGAACGGGUGAGUAAUGUAUCGGAACAUGCCCAGUCGUGGGGGAUAACGUAGUGAAAAUUACGCUAAUACCGCAUACGAUCUAUGGAUGAAAGCGGGGGAUCGCAAGACCUCGCGCGAUUGGAGGGGCCGAUAUCAGAUUAGGUAGUUGGUGGGGUAAAGGCCCACCAAGCCAACGAUCUGUAGCUGGUCUGAGAGGACGACCAGCCACACUGGAACUGAGACACGGUCCAGACUCCUACGGGAGGCAGCAGUGGGGAAUUUUGGACAAUGGGCGAAAGCCUGAUCCAGCCAUUCCGCGUGCAGGAUGAAGGCCCUCGGGUUGUAAACUGCUUUUGUACAGAACGAAAAGGUUUCUACUAAUACUAGGAGCUCAUGACGGUACUGUAAGAGUAAGCACCGGCUAACUACGUGCCAGCCGCCGCCGUAA